GUCAUCCCGUCGAAAAACCCUGUUCCCGUGCGAUCACCGAAGUUAAGCAACGUCGAGCCUGGUUAGUAUCUAGUGGCCUCUUGGGAACAACAGGUACUGUAU